CGGCGCACGGGUGAGUAACACGUAUGCAACCUGGCCGUCACAGGUGGAUAACCGGAAGAAAUUCCGACUAAUACAGCAUAACACUCCUGAGGGACAUCCUUCGGGAGUCAAAGGAGGCAACUCCGGUGACGGAUGGGCAUGCGGCGCAUUAGGUAGUUGGUAGGGUAACGGCCUACCAAGCCGACGAUGCGUAGGGGUUCUGAGAGGAAGGUCCCCCACAUUGGAACUGAGACACGGUCCAAACUCCUACGGGAGGCAGCAG
rnacentral:rRNA from 1 species